rnacentral:rRNA from 1 species
GCACAAGCGGUGGAGUAUGUGGUUAAUUCGACGCAACGCGCAGAACCUUACCAGGUCUUGACAUCCCGAUGCUAUUUCUAGAGAUAGAAAGUUACUUCGGUACAUCGGUGACAGGUGGUGCAUGGUUGUCGUCAGCUCGUGUCGUGAGAUGUUGGGUUAAGUCCCGCAACGAGCGCAACCCCUAUUGUUAGUUGCCAUCAUUCAGUUGGGCACUCUAGCGAGACUGCCGGUAAUAAACCGGAGGAAGGUGGGAUGACGUCAAAUCAUCAUGCCCCUUAUGACCUGGGCUACACACGUGCUACAAUGGUUGGUACAACGAGUUGCGAGUCGGUGGCGGCGAGCUAAUCUCUUAAAGCCAAUCUCAGUUCGGAUUGUAGGCUGCAACUCGCCUACAUGAAGUCGGAAUCGCUAGUAAUCGCGGAUCAGCACGCCGCGGUGAAUACGUUCCCGGGCCUU